rnacentral:lncRNA from 1 species
AAAAUGAGAAAAAUUAAAAAAAAUUGUGAAUAAUGGAGUCAAGAAGAGGAUUGAAUUAGAGGUUUUGGGUGUGAUUUGACUAUGUUUACACUUGUUCCCCAUUGCUCCUCUAUUCCUUUUGGUUUGUAGCUUCUGAUUCAUAUUAUAUCCUCCUUUGUCCUUGGCCCCAUUACAUCCCUAAAAGACCUUUUGAUUUGAACAUGCAUAUGUUUUGAGUGUUGAUAUUAGAGGCUUGCCAAAUCUGUUUGUGUUUGCUUUCUUGAGUGCAUUGAGUUGACAUUGUUUACCAUAGACACUUGAGAGAAACAGUGAUAGUGUGCAUUUGUGAUAGUCUGCAUUACUCGUAUCAUCCGGUGUAGGAGCUGACCCAUAUUCUUCUUGUUCAAACAUUAAAAGUAAUGUUAGGGAAUGAUACAAUAACAUAAUGAAAGAUUACUAAUAGUAGCAAUCUUAUUUGCUUACAUGAGUCUUCUGAGAUAUUUCAUCAACAAAUUCAUUAGUGCCCUUCCGAACAUGGGUCUGUGCAAAGAUCUCAUCAACAUGGACCGCCCGUCCUAGAGCUUGUGCCUGUAACAUAAUUUAGAGUUAGAAGUUAUAUAUGAAAGAAACAGAAAAGUAAAGAAAGUUUACCAUACGAAUGGCAUGCUCAUGGACCGUGAUCGACCCACCAGUAUGCAGGGCGCCACCCGUUUCAGACGCUCUGUUCCUCUGGGCUGUAGCACACUUGUUGCGAAACUCUGCUGAAUUCCAAUGAGCAAGCAAGGAGUUCCAAAUGAUCUCGCCCAACCAGUAAGGGCGCUCCCCUGCAAGUCGGGCAUCCCUAAACAUGUUUGAGAGUCG